rnacentral:rRNA from 1 species
GCUGUGGAACUCCUACGGGAGGCAGCAGCGAGGAAUAUUGGUCAAUGGUCGCAAGACUGAACCAGCCAUGCCGCGUGCAGGAAGACGGUCCUAUGGAUUGUAAACUGCUUUUAUACAGGAAGAAACCCUCCCACGUGUGGGAGCUUGACGGUACUGUAGGAAUAAGGAUCGGCUAACUCCGUGCCAGCAGCCGCGGUAAUACGGAGGAUCCAAGCGUUAUCCGGAAUCAUUGGGUUUAAAGGGUCCGUAGGCGGUCUUAUAAGUCAGUGGUGGAAGCCCAUCGCUCAACGAUGGAACUGCCAUUGAUACUGUAAGACUUGAAUGCUUAGGAAGUAACUAGAAUAUGUAUUGUAGCGGUGAAAUGCUUAGAUAUUACAUGGAAUACCAAUUGCGAAGGCAGGUUACUACUAAGUGAUUGACGCUGAUGGACGAAAGCGUGGGGAGCGAACAGGAUUAGAUACCCGAGUAGUCCUACCACGU